rnacentral:rRNA from 1 species
UCAAUAUAAAUUGAUUAAAAUUUAUUUAUUAUUUUUGUUUAUUUUUCUAUUAAUUUAUUAAAAAUAAUUAUAUAAAGAAUUAGUUUAAGUAUUUUUUAAAGAAAAAAUGAUUUUAAUAAUAGUUUAUUAGUAUUGUAAAAGAAUAUUGAAAUAAUUUGAAAAAUUUUUAUAAAAAAAGAAAUUAAAUUUGAUGUACCUUGUGUAUCAGGGUUGAUUAAAUAAAAAAUUUGUAUAAAUUUUUCUCGAUAUUAAAAGAGUUAAUAAAUUAUUUAAGUUAAUGUAGCAAAAUUAUUUAUAAUAAUUUAUUUGAAAUGAAAUGUUAUUCGUUUUUAAUGGUAUCUAGUUUUUUUAGAAAUAAAUUUAAUUUAGAAAAUUUUAAUUCAUUAGUAUUAGUUAAAUUAAUAUAAUAAUAUAAAAUUUUUAAUAUUUUACGGGAUAAGCUGUAAAAUAAAUUUUUAAAAAUUAAUUAAAAAAUUAAAAAAUAUAUGCUUAGAAAUAGCAAUUAUUAAUAAAUUUGUUAUAGUUUAUUUUAUAAAAUAAAUUAUUUAAUAUAAUUUUAAAUAUUUAUAAAAAAAUUUUUAUAAACAUUAAAUAAAAAAUUAUUAUGAUUAAAUUAGUAUAAAAUAAUGUAAAAUUAAAUUUAUUUGAAAAGUUUUUAUAAUGAAUUCGGCAAAUAAAUGUUCGCCUGUUUAACAAAAACAUGUCUUUUUGGAUUGAAUUUAAAGUCUGACCUGCCCACUGAAAUUUUAAAUGGCCGCAGUAUAUUAACUGUGCAAAGGUAGCAUAAUCAUUAGUCUUUUAAUUGAAGGCUGGAAUGAAUGGUUGGACGAAAUAUUAACUGUUUCAUAAAAAUUUAAGUUAGAAUUUUAUUUUUUAGUCAAAAAGCUAAAAUUUUUUUAAAAGACGAGAAGACCCUAUAAAUCUUUAUAUUUUUUAUUGUUAUAAUUAUUUAGAUAGAUUUUAUUUUAAUAGUAUAAAAUAUUUUAUUGGGGUGAUAUUAAAAUUUAAUAAACUUUUAAUUUAUUAAAACAUUUAUUUAUGAUUAAUUGAUCCAAUUUUAUUGAUUAAAAAUUUAAGUUACUUUAGGGAUAACAGCGUAAUUUUUUUGGAGAGUUCAUAUCGAUAAAAAAGAUUGCGACCUCGAUGUUGGAUUAAGAGAUAAGUUUGGGCGCAGCCGUUCAAAAGUUAAGUCUGUUCGACUUUUAAAUUCUUACAUGAUCUGAGUUCAAACCGGUG